rnacentral:lncRNA from 1 species
UUCAAAAAAAAUAAAUUAAUCACAUAAAUAAUAGAGCACAUACAUAUAUCUAAAAACUUAAAUAGAUCAUUACAAUUGUACUCUACGAGGUUUCAUAUCUUGAAAUGUCUUAAUAAUAGCAUCAUUAGGAAUACUAUCAAAUACAUCUUUUUCUACAAAAGGCACCAAACAACCACUAAAAAAAUCAUCACUCAUUUGACUUCGCAAGUCAUUCUUGAUAAACUUCAUUGCCGAGAAAGCUCUUUCAACGGAUGCAGUGGAAACUGGUAGAAGUAGAGCAAGUUUCACUAAGCGGAACACCAAAGGAUAAUUUGAAUGUU